UGGGGAAUCUUGGACAAUGGGCGCAAGCCUGAUCCAGCCAUGCCGCGUGAGUGAUGAAGGCCUUAGGGUUGUAAAGCUCUUUUGCCGGGGACGAUAAUGACGGUACCCGGAGAAUAAGUCCCGGCUAACUUCGUGCCAGCAGCCGCGGUAAUACGAAGGGGACUAGCGUUGUUCGGAAUCACUGGGCGUAAAGCGCACGUAGGCGGAUUUGUAAGUCAGGGGUGAAAUCCCGGGGCUCAACCUCGGAACUGCCUUUGAUACUGCGGAUCUCGAGUCCGAUAGAGGUGAGUGGAAUUCCUAGUGUAGAGGUGAAAUUCGUAGAUAUUAGGAAGAACACCGGUGGCGAAGGCGGCUCACUGGAUCGGUACUGACGCUGAGGUGCGAAAGCGUGGGGAGCAAACAGGAUUAGAUACCCAAGUAGUCCCUGAGCGGGCUGGCAAGGCGCAU
rnacentral:rRNA from 1 species